GAUGAGGGUGGAGGGAAAGGAAAAGAGAAUAAUGGAAGAUGAAGUGGAAGAGUUUUAAGCAUCGUUUUGUGCCAUGGGUGGCUGCAAACUGGUCUACAAGGUUAGUGCGUUCAGUUGAUUCACAUUCUCUCAUCGAAAAACAAUUUGAAGCCUUAUCCCAAUUAAAGCCUCAACUGGAAACCCUCUCGUUGAUCUUAAAACCUCUCACUCCGCUAGCAUUCAAAUCAAAUCUCUCCGACACAAAUCAACUCAAAUAUCAAACAUUAUGCUCAUCAGCUGUCAAGAGUCUAUUCGAUAUUAAUAAUUUUACGCUACAUGUGAGUCCGAGUCUUCAAGCUGAAGGUCUUGGGGUUUUUGUAAACCAAGGGAGAGUGAAGGAAAGUCAGCUGGUCGCCUUAUACCCUGGUACUAUUUACUUACCAUUGCAACCAAUAUUACUUCAGUCGUUGCAUAACUCAUAUAUACUACGCUGUGUUGAUGGAAUACAUAUUGAUGGGAGACACACCCACUUAUCGAGAUUGAUAUACAGAUCCUGUGCUUUUAGAGAUGUUAACUCAAGCUCCCAGUUAACCAGUGACCUCUCCUGGCUAUCCCUUCAACCUCUUAAUCCACUGUCAAUCGGUCAACUGGUCAACAACCAAUCAAGAGAAAUACAACCCAACGUUGAGUACAUAGAGCUGGACGUACCAGGAAGCAUGGUUGAUGAGUAUGGAUACUUACUGCCUAACUGUUGUUAUGGGCCACGCCUGGAUGCCAAGGAUGCUUCAAGUAAGAUAUAAUAAUGUCACGAGGAUAUGUUCUUGUGUGUGUGUGUGUUGUAUGGCAUGAGGUUGUAGUAUGUUAAAAGGAAGGAAGAAAUUUGUAGGAGAGUUGUUGCUUUAAUGGCUACUAGAGAUAUUACUCAAGGAGAAGAGAUAUACUCAUCUUACUUCACAAUUGCAACC
rnacentral:misc_RNA from 1 species